CAAGUCGAACGAGAAAGGGGAGCAAUCCCUGAGUACAGUGGCGUACGGGUGAGUAACACGUGGAUGACCUAUCUCUUAGUGGGGAAUAACUCUGGGAAACCGGAGAUAAUACCGCAUAAGCUCGAGAGAGGAAAGCAGCAAUGCGCUGAGAGAGGAGUCCGCGGCCGAUUAGCUAGUUGGCAGGGUAAAAGCCUACCAAGGCAUAGAUCGGUAGCCGGCCUGAGAGGGCACACGGCCACACUGGCACUGAGACACGGGCCAGACUCCUACGGGAGGCAGCAGUGGGGAAUCUUGCACAAUGGGGGCACCCCUGAUGCAGCGACGCCGCGUGAGCGAUGAAGCCCUUCGGGGUGUAAAGCUCUUUCGGCAGGAAAGAUUAUGACGGUACCUGCAGAAGCAGCUGCGGCUAACUACGUGCCAGCAGCCGCGGUAAUACGUAGGCAGCGAGCGUUGUUCGGAGUUACUGGGCGUAAAGGGUGUGUAGGCGGUUGUUUAAGUUUGGUGUGAAAUCUCCCGGCUCAACUGGGAGGGUGCGCCGAAUACUGAAUGACUUCCAGUGCGGGAGAGGUGAGUGGAAUUCCUGGUGUAGCGGUGAAAUGCGUAGAUUUCAGGAGGAACACCGGUGGUGUAGACGGCUCACUGGACCGUAACUGACGCUGAGACACGAAAGCGUGGGUAGCAAACAGGAUUAGAUACCCUGGUAGUCCACGCCCUAAACGAUGCAUAUUUUGGUGUGGGCAGUUCAUUCUGUCCGUGCCGGAGCUAACGCGUUAAUAUGCCGCCCGGGGAGUACAGUCGCAAGGCUGAAACUCAAAGGAAUUGACGGGGGCCC
rnacentral:rRNA from 1 species